GCCAUAAUGUUGAAAAGAAGUUCAUAGAAUAGAUUGUUUCUGUGAUAUACUUCCCUACUUUGAAGUUAGGUUAGGUUAUUUUGUCAAAUAGUGUGAAAUACAAUUUUAAAUUUAAUUAAUAGAAAAUCGUUUAACAAGGAUAAAUUGAAUUAAAAAC